UGGGGAAUCUUGGACAAUGGGCGCAAGCCUGAUCCAGCCAUGCCGCGUGAGUGAAGAAGGCCUUAGGGUUGUAAAGCUCUUUUGCCAGGGACGAUAAUGACGGUACCUGGAGAAUAAGCCCCGGCAAACUUCGUGCCAGCAGCCGCGGUAAUACGUAGGGGGCAAGCGUUGUCCGGAUUUACUGGGUGUAAAGGGCGCGCAGGCGGGAUAAAAAGUCAGUGGUGAAAUCCUACAGCUUAACUGUAGAACUGCCUUUGAUACUUUUAUUCUUGAGUUCGGGAGGGAGAGACGGAAUUCCAGGUGUAGUGGUGAAAUACGUAGAUAUCUGGAAGAACACCAGUUGCGAAGGCGGUCUCUUGGUCCGACACUGACGCUGAGGCGCGAAAGCGUGGGGAGCAAACA
rnacentral:rRNA from 1 species